AGAAAUUUCAACUUGAAGGACACCUCGAUGAAAGAUACAAUAAACAUUCCCUUGGAAACAAAAAAAAAAGGGGAGAUUUUCUUCAGCCAAGGGUGUAAAGAAUCUAAAAGGUAUUUGGCUUGAAGAAUGCUAAAUGUACUGGUAAUCUAAACUCUUCUCUUGUGAGUUAGUUGAGCAAAAUCAAUAGUCUGAAAUUAUAUGGUAGCAUGAUUAAACCUUUAAUUGCUGAUCAUCUUGAUAUCAUGCUUCAUUCUCAUGCUAGUAAUAAUUGUUUCAUGGUGUGAUUAAAUUGAAGUUUACCUUUUCCUAUAUAAUGCAUAACCAUGAAAUACACAAGUUUAUGCCUCAAAUCUCUAAUUCAAAAUAACUUGUGAUAAGCUAUGAAUCAUUGAGCAUAAUGAAAAUGCUGUU
rnacentral:lncRNA from 1 species